rnacentral:rRNA from 1 species
UACGAGAGCCUCGAGCGUUAUCCGGAAUUAUUGGGCGUAAAGGGUGCGUAGGUUGUUCUGUUAGUCUUUUGUCAAAGCCCCGGGCUUAACCUGGGAUCCGCGAAAGAAACGGCAGAACUUGAAAGUGCGAGAGGUGUACGGAACUCAUGGUGUAGGGGUGAAAUCCGUUGAUAUCAUGGGGAACACCAAAAGCGAAAGCAGUACACUGGCGCAUAUUUGACACUGAAGCACGAAAGCAUGGGUAGCGAAUGGG